UACAGAGGGUGCGAGCGUUAAUCGGAAUUACUGGGCGUAAAGCGUGCGUAGACGGUUAUUUAAGUCGGGUGUGAAAGCCCCGGGCUCAACCUGGGAAUUGCAUUCGAGACUGAAUAGCUAGGGUACGGUAGAGGGAAGCGGAAUUUCCGGUGUAGCGGUGAAAUGCGUAGAUAUCGGAAGGAACAUCAGUGGCGAAAGCGGCUUCCUGGACCAGUACCGACGUUCAGACACGAAAGCGUGGGGAGCAAACAGG
rnacentral:rRNA from 1 species